GGAGUUACAAAGUCAGCACUGGGCUGCAAACCAGCAGAAGCCCAGCUACUGAGUCAGGUUCUUUCUCUUCUCUGUCCAUCUCCUCCGGGCACCAUGGCCCAAUGUGCUCUGGCUGUCUGCCUCCUGGGGCUUUCCCUGGCAGCUGCUGGUGGUCUAUUAACUCAGCCGGCUUCUGAGACUGUGUCCCCAGGAGCCACUGUCAGACUCUCCUGCACCAUGAGCCGUGGGACCAGCAUCAGUGGCUACUACAUAAGCUGGCUGCAGCAGAGAGCAGGGAACCCUCCGAGAUACCUGCUCUAUUACAAAGAUGAAUCUGCCAACGGUCUGGGGUCUGGGGUCUCUGACCGAUUCUCAGCUUCCAAAGACACUUCCACUAACACCUGCUAUUUAAUCAUCACCGGGGCCCAAGCAGAGGAGGAGGCAGAUUAUUACUGUCUCACAUUCAAUGCUGCUGUGGCUCACAGUGCGACAGGCAGAUAG